rnacentral:rRNA from 1 species
CCUACGGGAGGCAGCAGUGGGGAAUAUUGGACAAUGGGCGAAAGCCUGAUCCAGCAAUGCCGCGUGAGUGAUGAAGGCCUUAGGGUUGUAAAGCUCUUUUACCAGGGAUGAUAAUGACAGUACCUGGAGAAUAAGCUCCGGCUAACUCCGUGCCAGCAGCCGCGGUAAUACGGAGGGAGCUAGCGUUGUUCGGAAUUACUGGGCGUAAAGCGUACGUAGGCGGUUAUUCAAGUCAGAGGUGAAAGCCUGGAGCUCAACUCCAGAACUGCCUUUGAAACUAGAUAGCUAGAAUCUUGGAGAGGUGAGUGGAAUUCCGAGUGUAGAGGUGAAAUUCGUAGAUAUUCGGAAGAACACCAGUGGCGAAGGCGACUCACUGGACAAGUAUUGACGCUGAGGUACGAAAGCGUGGGGAGCAAACAGGAUUAGAUACCCUGGUAGUCCACGCCGUAAACGAUGAUAACUAGCUGUUCGGGCUCUACGAGCUUGAGUGGCGCNGCUACGACAUUAAGUUAUCCGUCCGUCGGGAGGUACGGUCGCGAAGAAUUAAAACGUUAAAAGUAAAGUUAGACGGACGUGAGACGUCGCCGACGGACGACGACGAGGGAGGUUAGG